CUCUCUCGAACCCUCGAGAGGGAGCAAGGGAACUUGAUUUUUUAGCUCCAAUUCAGAGGACUCUAGCAAGGAUUUAGUGUUUCAAUUCAAGUUAUUGCUUGCAUGUGGAGGUAAGGGCAAGGCUAAGGUUGAGCAGCCGUGAGAGCGAGCGGAUGAAGAUUGUACAUGUCGGGGCGGUUAGGUCUGGAGUAUACGGUCUUUGGGCGUGUUGGACGUAUUUUGUAUAGUCACUAGGAAAUAACUUUUGUAUUAUGUACCAUAUGAAAUAGUUGUAAAUAUUUUAUAAACGGGAUGCUGAUUAUACAUAUGUUAUAAUUUUGAUGUUUAUAAGUAGUUGAACAAAGUUUUAAUUA